rnacentral:lncRNA from 1 species
AGGCAAUGCUGGAUCCUUUAACCCACUGUGCUGGGCUGGGAAUCGAACCUGUGCCUCUGCAAUGACCCAAGCCACUGCAGUCAGAGUCUUAACCCACUCCACCACAGUGGGAACUCCGGAUAAUUGUUUUUAAAAUUAGAGAAAGGCCAUCAUAAGCAGAACAGAGAGUGUGGUUCAAGAUAAAUAGCAAAUUUCCAGCUGUAUUCUAGAAAUCAAGCAUUACUAACAACUACAGUAAUAUAUGCUUUAAAAUAACUAUAAAUAAGUCUAAAUGCCAGAGCAUAUGUUUUAGCUUAGUAUAAUGGAAAAAGAAAUUUACUCUCUUCCAUGACCUACUUUUAGUUUUGUGCAUAUAAUAAUACUCUUAGAAAUUAAUAGGCAUUCUUGGAGUUCCUGUCGUGGCUCAGUGGUUAACAAAUCCAGCUGGGAACCAUGAGGUUGAGGGUUUGAUCCCUGGCCUUGCUCAGUGGGUUAAGGAUCCGGUGUUGCUGUGAGCUGUGGUGUAGGUCAGACUCGGCUUGGAUCCCACUUUGCUAUGGCUCUGGCAUAGGCUGGCAGCUACAGCUCCGAUUAGACCCCUCACCUGGGAAUCUCCAUGUGCCUUGAGGACAGCCACAGAAAAGACAAAGAGACAAAAAAAAAAAAAAUUAAUAGAAUCCUUUUUAAAAUUUUUUUUAAUUUUGGGGGGCAUUCUUAAAUGUAAUUUCAAAAAUACAUGUCAUAACAAAAUUCAAUUUUCAGACAAAUGGGUACUAGAGAGAAACUUACUAGCUCAUAUAGAAACAAAGAUUAUUUAAAGAGUUUUCAUAAUCCUUUUACAUCCAACUCUAUAGAUCUAUGUCUUUCAAGCCAAUGGUAAUUCCUAUAAAUUUGGAGUUUUGGUCCCAAGGAUUUUCUUUUCUCUUUGAGGGCUGUGAUUAACUUUUAUGUGGGGUGAAAAAUCCCCAACAUUUUCCACCUUAGGUUCCUUCGCAUACUCUGAAUCAUGCCAGCAACAGGUGGUAGGACUUGGUGGUUUUGAGAGUAAACUGGAAAUCAGGUGCAACAAGUUUAGUUAACAUUUCAGGGACUGAGUCACUGAUUCUCGGCAGUGGUAUUUCAAGUUAAAAGUUCCCAGGAAAACAAGAGUUCCUCACAGACUUCCCAACACACAUGAAUUCCUCGUUCCUGGAUAUUCCCUUUCUCUAAAUGGGACAAGGUAGGAUGCAGAUAAUUUAAAAGGAGAAAUGCUUCUUUCCUGAUCUUUGAAAGGCUAACAGCUCUGAGAGUAAAUGGAUAACUCCAUAUCUAUUGAUUGCAUCUGUUCUUAAGCUAAAUACCUCCAAGGCACACACACACUCUACCACUCACUCAUCCCCCCCAACCAGCUUUCGUUUGCUCAUGGUGUGGUGAAAAUAUGUGCUUUGGAGUCUGAAAGACCUGGGUUCAAAUGCUGCUCUGUCCUUUACCAGCUAAUUUAGCUUGGGUGAGCCACUUCCCCUCUUACAGGUUCUGUGUUCUCAAUUGUAAAAAUGGGGAUAAAAUCAUCUACUUAGAGGAACUAUUAUGAAGACUAAAUGAGGUACACCGAAUAUAGAAACAACCAUCACAUAAUGGAUAAUCAAUAAUUUUUCGUGCCCUUUGUCCUAGAACUCUUGAGAAAAUUUUCUAAUGUUUACUUAAAUGAUAUGAGGGAGUGGGAGUUAUUGGGCCAUAGAGAAGUCUCCUCUUCCAUUCCUCCUGCCAUGCACAUUUUCCUCUCAAAACAUGCCCCAACCCAACUGGCUGUCACUUUUGUUCUUUGCUGAAUUGUUCUUGAGUGGCAUGAAGAUAAAAACUGGUGCUCCCCUUAGUUUAUCAGCUGCUGGCUUUGUAAAGUUGUGGCAUUGUAACUGCGGUAUGAUUACACACAGAGAAAAGGAACCAGGAACCCUGUAACUAGCAAGGAAAUCGAGGCACAAAUUCCUGAGGAGAUUCUCCACAGGAAACUACAUGGUGAAUUAAACACAGCCUCAAUGCAUCAACAGUUAUCACCUAGAUCUAGGACUUAUUAUUUCCAUAUGGGCAUAAAAAAGAACUUUAAACAAAAGUGAAAUAAGAAGGCAGGAUACAAUUAAGUACCAACAAUGCACAAGGUACUAAGACUUCUAGGUCAAAGUACUUGAAACUUCUUACAAGUGAGAUUAGGACAAUCACAACAUGCAAAAGUCAAAACUUUCAGCAAAUGCCAGACAUUCAGUCGUGCUUUGCUUUUAUCUUGAAAAAAAUCCAAAUUCUAGUUUUAGACUAGCGUGUUUAAACACGUUUAGUGAGACACGCAGAAAUACAAAUGCUCUUGUUUCCAGCCAACGUAGUCUCCAAUGAAGGUCUCCUGAUCAAUAAUUGAAUCUAUUCCAGACAAAAUUGUUCGAGGGAGUCAAUACUAAAAGAGAACGGUUUUAACCCCAUCUUGGAGCAACUACGUUUUCUUGUUUUGCAGGUAAUAACAACCCACUUAGUUCAUGGGAAUGAAGCAGUGGAGAAGCCAGCCAACUUUUGCAAGAUAGUAGAGCCGAGAAUGGCUGGCAAGACCUAGGGAGCCUCCCCUGCACAAGCUUGUAAAAGGCCAGUUCUUGGGUUUUGGACAUGGCAGCAUGAUAAAGGAGCCCCUUUGUUUCAACAUAAUUGUCAACAGUUUGGUUGGACUGUCUUAUCUUUUUCAAACAGCUGAUGAGAAAACAAUCAAGCUGUGCUUUCCUAGGAUAUUUAUGAAAUCUGUCAGUAUUAUCAAAACAUUUAAAUGACAAAUCAUAAAUAAAAUAUUAUAUGUUAUAGCAACAUCUUUAUGUCAAGCCCUAUAAAGGGAAUUCUUGAAUGGGUACAGUAUAGAAACCAUAAUUAUAAAUGCCAUUUUGUUAUAAAACAUGGCUUGUGAAAACUUUAAACAUUUUUUUAAAAAAACAUGGCGUGUGUGUGUGUAUGUGCUGUUUGAGUUUUGGGUUUGGUUUUUUUUUUCCUGUUUCUUGGGCCGCUCCCGAGGCAUAUGGAGGUUCCCAGGCUAGGGGUGCGGGCCUAAAAAGCAAGCAAGCAAGCAAGAAAAGGAGAAAAAAAAGAAAAUCUGACAACACACUUACCCUGAGCAGCAACUGUGAGCUUUGAGGGCCACCUAGCCAGCAACUUACCUCUGACCUUGCAUGCUACUGCCUAUGCCAAGACUGUGGGGGUGGGAGGAGGGUGUAACAACUACGCCCACUUUUAGGUUAUGCUGCUUCCUGACAAAGCGUGGGCAGAAGCACAGGUCUCAAGACUUAGACGCAAUACUUUUUUACAUGACAUAAAGCUUGGAAUGUCUGCUUUAAAAUUGUUGUUUUUUUCUAAGAUUUGGAACUCCAGCCCCAACCCUUAUGAGCUCUGUGACACUAGUAAAACUAUAUUCUGCUCUAUGCCUCAUUCUUCCCCCAAAUAGGAAUAAUAACAGUUCCUACCUCUCCGGGAUGUUAUGAAUUAACUGUAGUGAGUUAAUAUUUGUCAAGUGCUUAGAAAAGUGUCUGAUACACACAGCGUUGGUUAAAUAAACUGCAUCUUUCAACAAAAUCUUUAUGGAAAACAGCGUAUUCACAGACAUAGUCUAAAGUUGUUAUUAUAAGUCAAAUGCUUCCUCUACUUUGUCUUAUUCACAACACAUGCUAUUUUGCCUCUUGAUCCCAAUUACAAGAUAAUCCAAAGAACUGGAGUUCCUGUCGUGGCUCAGGGGAAAUGAAUCUGACUAGCAUCCAUGAGGAUGCAGGUUUGAUCCCUGGCCUUGCUCAGUGGGUUAAGGAUCCAGUGUUGCUGUGGCCGUGGCAUAGGCCGGCGGCUACAGCUCCAAUUCAACCCCUAGCCUGAGAACCUCCAUAUGCCACAUGUGCAGCCCUAAAAAGAAAAAGAAAAAAAAAAAAAUUCCAAAGAACUAUCAGAAACUUACGCCACUGUUUAUUAACUAAUUUGAAAAAAAAAUAAGAUAUGUGUUAUGCAUUGUGUCUUUAUGUAACUGUUAGCCAAAUUUUUUAUUUGCAUUACUGUAUUCAAGAUGCUAUAACCUAACUUCUAAUAAAUGAGACUCAGGGUGGCUGGCUUGAAAUGGCACACAACAGUAUUAAACAUAGUUCGGCAGCCAACUUCUUCAUCACAAAAUAUGUUGCCAAACUUAACACUAACUUACUUUUACUCAUUUAACUUCCACACAUGGGAAGGUUAAAAAAAAAAAAAAGGCACUUGUUAAUUCUGAGUUUUAUUUUUCUGUGUUAGCUACAGGUUCAACUUGUCCUCAUCUUCUCUUUGUUGAUGAGAGAAGCCGGGGAUACCAUGAGUGAACUUUGGAUGCUCUGCCUCAUUGUGUGGCUUGAGGUUUCCCGGUAUUUUAUCAAAAUGAUCCCUUGUCUUGAAAGAUCUGUCAUUGCUUCACUUGCACUGAAUAGGCUAAUCCAAGAGACACACAGUGCUAUAAAGACAGCACUAAGGCAGUGCUCAUUCUCUAGAAUGAAGGAUUCUUAUAAAUUUGAAUCCACUGAGGUAUUCUGAUGAGGCAUUUGGGUUAGUCCAAUGCAGCUGUGUUUUAAAGGAGCACUAGAUGAGCUAAUGAGACUCAACUGACUGGCUUUUCUUGCCAAACUUUCCACAAGUGUCAGAUAUUCAUAUGAUUUUAUCUUGAAAACUCACUUUGGGGCAAGAUGUUGAAUUCACAUUUCAAACCUCUCUUGGGUAAAAGUCCACAAUUCAUUCUUCUAAAGUGAAUAUAUAAAAAUACACCUAUUGGAUAUGCCAGGCAAUUUCAUAUGAAAAUAAAGAUAGGUUGUUUUUAAGGAAGAAUACCUUGCUUUUAGAACAUGGGCUAUGCUGGACUUUUUUUGAGAGAGACUCCAGAAUUAUCUUGACAGAGACUGAGUAGACACCAAGUUAGCUGUGUACCCUAAAUAACAAUCCUCUUUGAAUCUAAAAAAUGUCAAGAACCACUCAUUUGCAGCCUAUAAUUUUAGAGUGUCAAUAUCACGUUUACCUGUAACUUCAGCCAAGGUUUUCAAAUCCAUAUGUCACAUUCCAAGCCCAAUCUUUAUUCCUAGAUGCCAAAAUAUGACAGAAGAGCUGAAAUAAUCUCAAACUCCAGAUAUUUGAAAUGGAAAAUUAUUUAUGCAUAAUCCUAAAUACAUGAUUCUCUUUGUUCUGAAUGCCGCUGAAAAAAUAAGUUUCCAUGAUUUUUCUUUUGCUCCAGUACUGGGUAUAGUUUAAGAUGAUCAUAACCUUAAGAAGAUUUAGAGCCUUUGAUGAUCUCCAUAUGAGAAUUAGAAAAAAAUCUAAUUAUUCAGUAUGAGCAAAACUUCUUCAUGAGAGAAAAAAACUUUCUGCUCCAAGAUAACCUGCCUGACCUCAACGCUUUUGAUUAAAUCUUUUAUUUCUGCUUUUAAUGCAUCAUAUGCUACUUUAUUCAUUUUUACUCAUAUGCCCCAUCCUGCACUAGACUCUGAGUUUCUUAGGAGCAGAGAUAACCUCUAAUUUCAUUGUUCUAUUUCCCAGUGCCUGGUAUAGAGUAAGUGCUCAAUAACUGUUUGUCGAACAUAAGAAACUUCUGUUUAAAUUCUGGUUGAUAUCAUUUCAAUAAAAUACAGAGGGAAUCUGUGCCAUAGAAUAAUCCAUCAUUAAUCCUAGAAAAAUGAUUCUAUAGGCCAGAUUGCAUUGCUUUUCAUGAACAGGAUCUCUAAACCUCUUAUUCAACAGGUAAAACAUGAAAUGGAGAUUAAACAACUAUUAAAUUUUUUUCAAGGUAAACAGAAAUGCAUACAGUUCAAUAUUCAAUCUCACGACUCAAUUUUGAAAUAAACGAAUCGCAUUUUUUUCCUACAUGGACAUUCCUGAAACACAAUGACCCUUUAAGUGAACUGAAAGUCUAAGACAAAUGUUUUUAAUGUUCAUUAUAAGGUGGACAUUUUAAAUAAAUAUUAGGAGUUAGAAUAUAAAUUUCAAUAUUGAAUAUCUUUGCUACAUUGUUUUAAUCAUGGAUGGAUAGUAAAGCUGUGAUUUGCUGUCUCAUCCUUAAAAAUAAAAUGUAUCAUGGAAAGCUAAAGAAGAAAAAAGAAAGGAAACUGAGCCCAGAGGUGCUACCGGUCUCCACAAAUGCUCAUGUCACUUGGAUAAGGACUAAGAAGAUUAUAACUGAAAGAGUAGUAAUACAAUGACAGAGACAAGUGGCAAAGAAUUAUGCUGUACCAAACAUUGACUCCAAAAUCACUCUAGGAAAAACGCCUCUAACUUCAAACUUUAUCUUUGGUUUCCUAAAUCAGACUUUGAGAUUGAAUGUACAAAGGGCCAACUUUUACAGCUAGAAAGGUACUCCCAGAUCCUCAAAGGUACUUCAAGUCUUAACAGGCCUGGUUACAACUUCUUCCGGGCUUCUAAAGUUGUUUGACUCCAUUUACAAAGUACAAAUGGAUUUAUGGAUGCUAUCACAUACUAUGCAGACAACAAUCACAGCUUCAGUGCCACAAUCAUGCCUGUUCCCACCACCUUUCAUCUGUCCAGCACCUGCUUCAGGCUGGGCCCUGGGCCAGGUGUUUUACAUAGAUAGUAUCUAACCCUCAGAGAGCCCCUAAAGGAAAGUGUUAUUGUCCCCACUGAACAGGUGAGGAGGCUGAGGCUUAAAGACUGAGGCUUAGCCAAAAGUAUCCAAAUGGCAGAGGCAGAUUUGGAACUGAGUCUGUGCAACACCACAGUCUAUGCCUUUUCAUUGCAGUGUGCUACAAUUUAUUGAGCCUCUGUGAACUUCCAGACACUGUGAUAAUUGUUUUAAUAUAUAUUUAGAAGUCUCUAAAAUAAUGAUAGGAGGUAGGUCUCAGAUCAUGAAAGUGAAAUUAGAGCAGUAAAGAAACUUUUCCCAGGAGUUCAUUGCUAGUAAGCGAUAGGGCUAAAAUUUAAAUUCCUGCUUUAUCAGUGGUAAAAGAACACAAACCUAAAAUUUCAAACUCUUGCCUUUGGCAUAAGCUAAACAUACUGGGAUAAACCCAAUAUAUAUUAACCAAUUUAGAGGCAAUAUUAGAUAAAACAGACUUAUCUAGCUAUAUCGUUUAUGUUAGAAAUUAAACCUGUUUAGAGUUCUAAACACUAAACCCGCCUCAAGAGGCUGGAAACUAGAAUCAAGUCAUGAAGACUCACACACUACAGUUCUAGAAUGCUUUCCAGUAAUGUUUUAAAGGAUUAUUCUUUUUCUGAUGGGAUAAAACAACAGUUUAACCUCACAAAAUUCUAGUUAUAUAAAUAGGGAGUAGGUUGUUUUCCCUUUGUAGAAGGAACAGGUCAAUGCAAGGACAAAAAAACUAAGGGACUAUUGACAGUCCUCAAACUUGAGCCUACGAGUCCUGAAAUGAGGAUGCCCUGCUCUCUGACACCAGCUGCAUUUUUCCUCCAAACGAAAUGAGGAUCUGCUCAUCUUCAGAGGAUUAGGAGGCCCACCUAGCACCGGAGUUUGGCAUCCCCACAGAGAGCAUUAAUGUCUGCUUCUAGGUUUGGAGCUCAGUUCGAGGGAGAUCAUCUUUAAUUCACUGCAUUGACCUUUAGCUAAGAGCCCACUUCUAAUCAAAACAACACUGGGCGCCUUGAUUAGGGAAAAUAAAAAGGAAGUAUUAUUUCCAUCAUAGAGCAGAAAGUAAACACAUCAAAUCACUACUCAAAAGGAGGUACAGGCAAGAUACUAGUAAGAAAAGGGAGAAACAGCUCCCACUUACUAAGCGCUCACAAUGUGCCAGUCACUGCUCUGAGCACUUGACAUGCAGUCACUUGUUUACGUUUAUAACAACUCAUAUUAUGCCCCUCUUAUAGAUGAGAAAACCAAGACACAAAAAGGUUAGUGACUUGCUUAGGAUGACACGGCUGUGUCACAAUAAGUAGAAGAGGGAUUUAAAGGAAGAUGGAGAAUCCAUACUCUGGAUAAACUGUUUACAACAGGAAGUAUAAUUCAAGACCUAAUAAAUGGUGUGCCACUAAGGGCUGCUAAGGAAGGUCUGGCCACAGCUCACCAGGCCCUCUCACCCACAUCCCUCCAUCCCUCUGAUGGCAAGAGAAAUAUGUACGAGACAAGACAUCAGGCUGGCCCUGGAGGGCAAUGGCUAUAUUUCUAUGGGAAAUAGCAUGUGACCAUGUUUACCAACACCAAGCUGACAAAAACCUUUAAGGGUCAAUUUUAGGAAGAGAGGCAGCACAUGUACAAAUUAUUUUAUGUAAAGAAAGCAGGCAAUGGUCACUGAUUCUUAAAACAUCUACACCAAAAUAUUCACAAAUAUUUGCAGAGUACAGAAAUGCGAUGUCAAUAAACUUUAAACCAUCGUUGGAAUGGUAAGCUCUUUUAGGAAGAGAAGCAUUUCCCCCUCCAACCAACUCUAUAUAUAUAUAUUUUUAUAUUUCUCCCAUUAGACCUUUGCAUUUCCAAUGAUGAUGACGAUGUGAUGGUUUUACAUUUACUGAGUUUCUAGUCUGUGUCCAGAGUGUGAUGAGUUUUACAUUUGAUAACAUAAACUAUCAUUUGAUAUUCACGACAGCCCUGCAGCAUUAGUACAACUAUUUUCUCCAUUUUCCAAAUGAAGAAGCUGAGACUCAGAAAGGUGAAGUAACUUGCCCGAAGUCAUGCAUCCAGGACAUAAACUCAUUUUUGUUUGCUCUUAAAGCCCAUAAUAUUAACCAUGUAUGCCCAGCUGACAAGUGUGGCCACCUGACUGUCCCAUCCUUAUAUAGAGACCAAGGCCAUAGAGAGGGCUACACAUUCCAGCUGAGGUCCACCACCUCCAAAUCCUGGACAGAAAUGAACGAAAGUGGGCAGAAGGCUUGAGAGAGUCACACUG